rnacentral:misc_RNA from 1 species
AAAAAAAAAAAAAAACCUAAGCAAUACAAUGCCAACACAUCAGUCAUCAGCUAUAAGCAAAAAUAAUAACACAGUAAAAGCAAUGCACAUUCACCAUUUAUUAUAGGAGAAAGAUAAGGGUAAAGCAGACAAACUGGAAAUUUAAAUUUCAUUUAGAAAAUAAACAUCAACUCACAAGGGCCCAAACAAAACAAAACAAAACAAAAAAUAGGCUGCAAUUUCAAACAAAGAACACAAAUAACAUCUAUUUGCUUACUCAACUAUUAGGUAUAACAAAUCACAAUAUUUCAAUGUUCUACCUACUACAUGGGAUGGAAUAUUAUUGAAAAAAGGGAAUUACAACUAGUGAUUAUAUAAGAAGAAAGCCCAAGAAUUAUCCUUCUAAAAAUCUAUUCUCAAGCCAACAGAAAUCUAUUUUCCCAUUCCUAACAGAGUAAUCAACUGGAAAACAAAUAUACCUUCAAAACCAAAAUGACUUGAUAAAUCAUCCAAUAAAAAAGAUUUUAAGAAGAAAAUUCUGAGAAACACAAUGACAACAUGUUAGUAUUAAACUAAAAUAUUAAUAAAGAAAAAGCAGCGCACAAUCACAACAGGCAAUAGGAGAAUGAUAAGGGGAGGCAGGCAAACUAGAGAUUUAAAUAGUAAAUACACAACAACUUAAAAGGACCAAACAAAAAAAGUAGGCUAUAAUUUCAACCAAAGAAUAUAACCAUCCUAUAUUUGUUGACUCAGCUUUGAGCUAUAAUUAAUUCUCAAUAUUUUCAAUGUUCUACUUCUACCUACUACAUGGAAUGGAAGGCUUUUAAAAACAACAACAACAACAAUAAUAA